rnacentral:lncRNA from 1 species
GGCGCAGGCGCAGUGGCAACACGCCUGGCACUGUGUGGGUAGGUGCCAGGGAGGCUCUUCCUACCCGGUAUCUUGUUCUGGCACCCAGGAGCUGACUGAAGUCUUUGACCCUUUGACCCGCUGGCAUUGGGUGGACGUCCUCUCAGCGCCCACCUUAAUCAAUGGCGUCAUGGCCGCAGUGGCUGGGGCCGGGCACCCGACUUUUCUGGACGUCUCUCAGCAAAGAGGAAAGAUGGAAACCGCAUCGCGAAAAGGAAUCACCGAAGGCAAACUGGAGCUUCCUAACAAGUGUCACCUGAGAGAUCUUCCUGUAAUCCAGAUGGUGGAAAGACCACCUCCCAGUUGGACAGAGGAUGCCUGAGACUGGAUUCAUUGCUUUCAAAGUUCCUUUGCAAAAGGUGGGAAUCUGAAGGCAAGGAGUGCCCUUUUUCUCUUUGGUAGCUGUGUAGGCCACAUGGCCAUCAAAGAGUCGAGUUGUUGUGGCCAUCAGAGGAAUAACAUGGACUUCUCAGAGUGAGGGUAUAAUGAAGCUGUGACACUUUGUGGUGAGGAGCUUUUUUUCUGGGAGAUUUUUUGGGGAUGUAGCUCCUUAUAAUCAUGCUACAAUUGGCCUCUGUAAGUUAUGAGAUGACAUUGACUCUGCC